rnacentral:rRNA from 1 species
GACGAACGCUGGCGGCGUGCUUAACACAUGCAAGUCGAACGGGCUGAAGUGAUAGCUUGCUGGAUAUACAACUUAGUGGCGGACGGGUGAGUAACACGUGAGUAACCUGCCUCUCAGAGUGGAAUAACGUUUGGAAACGAACGCUAAUACCGCAUAACGUGAGAAGAGGGCAUCCUCUUUUUACCAAAGAUUUAUCGCUGAGAGAUGGGCUCGCGGCCGAUUAGAUAGUUGGUGAGGUAACGGCUCACCAAGUCGACGAUCCAUAGCCGGACUGAGAGGUUGAACGGCCACAUUGGGACUGAGACACGGCCCAG